UCCACAAUUUCUCGCACAUUGUUUCUAUCUCUCUCCUAUCUGCCCAACCAAGUUGGGCUAAGUCCACCUCACUUCUAUAUUUAUUUUUCUUUCUUUUGCUCCUUGGGCCUAGUAUUUUUCCACCAAAGCCCAUCUAGCUUACAGACCUCAAGCCUAGGCGCAUGCACGUGCUCGUCUCCUUCCUCUGCACGUUCAAUCUGAACAGAAACUGAACUUGAACAGCCAUGGCGUCUUCACCUCUUCCUCUCCCUCUAGUGCUAACCACAGUCAUCCUUUCGACUUGCCACCAACACGAAACUUACAGAGGAACGUAAGGAGAACCCAUUCAAAGAAUUAAAACCCAACAUUAUGGCCAUAAAUCGCCGAAUUGAUCCGUGAAACGUACACACACAAACAGCCAUUAAUGGCCAUGUUGAGCUCCCUUGAUCUCCCCGUACCGGCUUCCACUGCAAUUAUAAAUAGACCCCGAGGAGAGCCCUCAGCCCUAACACCUUCCAGACCCAAAAGCCCUCUCCCUCUCGUCUCAAAACCGGAGAAUUUGUCGCCGGACCCGAGCUUCGUUGUCGCCGUCCGUUGACGAUCACGUCGCCUCCGCCAGGUCGCACGAACAACGGCACCCGAGCUCCACCAUCGUUCUACCUGCAGCCGCUGCCCACGUCCUCCAGUGGACGAGAUCCACAGCGCCAAUACCCUAUCGUCUUCGUCUCAUCGUCAGGAAAGGUGACGUGAACCUCCUCGUGCACGAUCGAGCCACGCGUCGUCGCCCCGACCAACUCCGGCGACCGGACCACCUCUCCCCGAUAUUUCGUAAAGUGAAGGAGCGACGAUAACAAGUGAAGAAUCAACUUCAAGACACAGGCAAGUUGCAAUUUGAUCAUGCCCUGACCUAUAUUUUCAUAUUAUGAACAUCUCUUUGAAUUUAAAUACUAUGCAUGUUUUACAAAAGUUUUGCAAAAUAUUAUUACUAUCUAGAGCCUUAGGUUCAAGACUUACUACAAUGCUUGGACGCGCUUGCACAAAUGGGUGGGUUGAAAAUCAAACAAGUUUUAAACAAAUAAACUUGCCCUCUUUUGGGGCAAUGUUUUGUGAAAACUUUUGAAAACCAAAACUAUAUACUAUUUUACUUCUACUCCCUGGGCGGAAUGGUAUUGACGGGAGCGUCUACAAGUGAUUGCGCCCAUCGCGGUCUUGCAGUGAAUGCGCCCGACUGGGGUCUUGCACACAGGUUUUUGGCGGGGAUUGCCAUCCAGGGGAAUGAGAUCUUCCAAGUAUAGUUUGAUGUAGCUUCCAGUACAACCACAUGCUACUAUGGGCUCGAGCUUAGCUUAGUACUAACGGAAAACCCUUACCUCAGGACCGCCAUCGGAGAGGGGCUUUCAUUGCCUAAGUUGCGGGCGGCUUGGUCAGGUAUAGGGGGCUGUUAUGGAAAGGCUUCGUCGCAAUCUCCUCCUAGUCGUACACCCAAGUGUGUAACAUAAACGGGGUUGGUUGUGUCAUGUGGGGAACGUGUACGACCGCUGUAGAGGGUUUAACCUAAUCGAUUAGCCGUGCCCCCGGUUAUGGGCAAAUUGAGCAACUAAAGACUUGGACUGAAGAAGAAUCUCCCCUCUCUUUCCUAAAAAUCUGUUUAAGGGUUAAAGUUGAGGAAUGAGCACAGUGAAUGUGUUUCACUUCAACCGUAUGUAUGUUUAAAACUAUUUUUGAAGAAUGAGCACUGGUGCGUAUAUCCAAGUGUCUCACUCCUACCUUUUAUACAAAAAACUAUUUCUAUUUCAAAAGAAGUGUACAAAAUUUACUAUAGGAGAAAAUUGGCUUCAUGCAAAGGAAACCUCCACCAAUACUUACCCUGCAUAUAUAAUCUGUUAUACUUUCCUUUGCAACUUGCGAGUACAUUCCACGUACUCAUCUGCACCUGUCAUGUGCAGAUCUCGACAAAUUAAGAGACGAUAGGGUUAUGGUCUACAUUCAACGAGCCCAGUGGCAUUGAUGGAGCCUAACUUAGUGACUACGUAUAAUUCCGCUGUAUUAUCUGCUAGCUUGAGCUGUGUCUAAGCUAUGAUCCAGGGAUAGCACAGUAAGCAUAGAGACCCGGAUUCUACCAAAUCCGGGUCGUUACAUGACGCCGGGGCUGCUAAAGCACCGGAGCACAGCGUGGAGAUGGAGACAGAGGUUGCGGUCACCGCAGGCGUGUUAUUGUUGCACCCUGACGUCGUCGACGGCGACGAGCUUCCACAGCCGGAGGCGGAGUUCCACACGGACUCCGACGACCACUCCGACAACGACUCCUACGACCACUCCGGCGACGACUCCGAUAAUGAC